AGUGAACGCUGGCGGUAGGCCUAACACAUGCAAGUCGAACGGCAGCACAGUAAGAGCUUGCUCUUACGGGUGGCGAGUGGCGGACGGGUGAGGAAUACAUCGGAAUCUACUUUUUCGUGGGGGAUAACGUAGGGAAACUUACGCUAAUACCGCAUACGACCUACGGGUGAAAGCAGGGGAUCUUCGGACCUUGCGCGAUUGAAUGAGCCGAUGUCGGAUUAGCUAGUUGGCGGGGUAAAGGCCCACCAAGGCGACGAUCCGUAGCUGGUCUGAGAGGAUGAUCAGCCACACUGGGACUGAGACACGGUCCAGACUCCUACGGGAGGCAGCAGUGGGGAAUAUUGGACAAUGGGCGCAAGCCUGAUCCAGCCAUACCGCGUGGGUGAAGAAGGCCUUCGGGUUGUAAAGCCCUUUUGUUGGGAAAGAAAAGCAGCAGGUUAAUACCCCGCUGUUCUGACGGUACCAAAAGAAUAAGCACCGGCUAACUUCGUG
rnacentral:rRNA from 1 species